UCUGGCAUACUCCCUGUCCGUUUAUUGUUAGCUAGCAGUCUCAAGCCACAGAAGUAGCUAACAUUAACUGAAAUGUUAGCUACACGUAGGCCUAACGAUGCAUGUACACUAGAUAGUGGUAAAUUGACGCGUGCCGCUUGCCAUUGUGACUCGGUUGUGGGCGUGCUGGCAGCAUAUAGCAGCUUUUCGAUUGUGCGUCAAGAAUUCAGCAUAGCAAGUAUGUAUGAAGGUCUGGUUAUUAAAUGGGUACAUAGCUCAAUAGUAAUAUCCUCUAAAACGCUCUGGUGACAAACAAACUUUGCUGCCCUGUUUCCAAUUAUCUACAUGGCUGGGAUAACCUAAUAUAAAGAGAGCUAUGAAAGCCUGUCUACAUAUGAAGAACAGUGGUUCUCAGUCCUGGGGUCUCAAAAGGGGUGUACAUUUUUGUUUUUGCCUUAGCACUGCACAGCUGAUUCAGUUGAUCAACUCAUCAAGCUUCGAGUGAUACCUUGUAACUGGAGAUUCCUUCAAAACGAUUGCCUACAGUUAAC